CAGCUGCCUGUCGAACGCGGAAGCGGAGAGCAGUCCUCUGUUCUCCUCGGCCCGCCGGAUGAGGUAGGGGAUGAUGUGCUCCACGGGGCCGUAGGGCAGGUACUUGCUCACCUGGAACCCGGCGUUGCGGAGCCCCAGGGACAGCCCGUCCGCCAUGCCCAUCAGCUGCGCGAACUGCAGGUUCCGGUCGCCCUUGCCGAUGCCAAGCUCCUGCGCCCUCGCCGCCGCCAGCUGCCCGGACUCCACGUUGUGGGUGGCCAGCAUCAC
rnacentral:lncRNA from 1 species